GCUUACACAUGCAAGUCGAACGAUGAACCGCUUUCGGGCGGGGAUUAGUGGCGAACGGGUGAGUAACACGUGGGCAAUCUGCCCUGCACUCUGGGACAAGCCCUGGAAACGGGGUCUAAUACCGGAUAUGACUGUCCGCCGCAUGGUGGAUGGUGUAAAGCUCCGGCGGUGCAGGAUGAGCCCGCGGCCUAUCAGCUUGUUGGUGAGGUAGUGGCUCACCAAGGCGACGACGGGUAGCCGGCCUGAGAGGGCGACCGGCCACACUGGGACUGAGACACGGCCCAGACUCCUACGGGAGGCAGCAGUGGGGAAUAUUGCACAAUGGGCGAAAGCCUGAUGCAGCGACGCCGCGUGAGGGAUGACGGCCUUCGGGUUGUAAACCUCUUUCAGCAGGGAAGAAGCGAAAGUGACGGUACCUGCAGAAGAAGCGCCGGCUAACUACGUGCCAGCAGCCGCGGUAAUACGUAGGGCGCAAGCGUUGUCCGGAAUUAUUGGGCGUAAAGAGCUCGUAGGCGGCUUGUCACGUCGGUUGUGAAAGCCCGGGGCUUAACCCCGGGUCUGCAGUCGAUACGGGCAGGCUAGAGUUCGGUAGGGGAGAUCGGAAUUCCUGGUGUAGCGGUGAAAUGCGCAGAUAUCAGGAGGAACACCGGUGGCGAAGGCGGAUCUCUGGGCCGAUACUGACGCUGAGGAGCGAAAGCGUGGGGAGCGAACAGGAUUAGAUACCCUGGUAGUCCACGCCGUAAACGGUGGGCACUAGGUGUGGGCAACAUUCCACGUUGUCCGUGCCGCAGCUAACGCAUUAAGUG
rnacentral:rRNA from 1 species